GGACCAUUGGCCCGAUGGUCGGGCGGGCCCCUCAUAAGGGCUUGGUCUUGGUUCGAUUCCAAGAUGGUCCA
rnacentral:tRNA from 1 species